CACUCCUUAUCAUGAAGGCAUGAUGUCCCCAAACUAUCUCCUCAGUCCAAAUAUGCGUUUAUCGCCAAUGUCAGAUGCACAGUUCUCUCCAUAUGUUGGUGGGAUGGCCUUUUCGCCCACUUCAUCUCCAGGCUACAGCCUAUCAUCCCCUGGAUACAGUCCUACUUCUCCCGGUUACAGUCCCACUUCACCUGGAUAUAGCCCGACUUCUCCCGGUUAUAGUCCCACUUCACCAACCUACAGCCCCAGUUCUCCUGGCUAUAGCCCAACAAGCCCUGCUUAUUCUCCUACAAGUCCUUCCUAUUCUCCCACCUCUCCUAGCUACAGCCCAACAUCUCCAAGCUAUAGCCCAACGUCCCCGAGCUACAGCCCGACAUCACCGAGCUACAGCCCCACUUCUCCGAGUUACAGCCCGACAUCGCCUGCUUAUAGCCCGACCUCGCCCGCGUAUAGCCCGACUUCACCUGCAUACAGCCCGACCUCUCCUUCUUACAGCCCAACAUCACCAUCUUACAGCCCAACAUCACCUUCUUACAGUCCUACUUCACCCUCCUACAGUCCCACUUCACCUUCUUACAGUCCUACUUCACCCGCAUACAGCCCUACGUCUCCUGGCUACAGCCCAACUUCACCAAGCUACAGCCCAACAUCACCUAGUUACGGUCCUACGUCUCCAAGCUACAACCCUCAGUCUGCUAAAUACAGCCCAUCUCUGGCUUACUCUCCUAGCAAUGCAAGACUAUCGCCAGCUAGCCCCUACAGUCCUACAUCUCCA
rnacentral:lncRNA from 1 species